rnacentral:rRNA from 1 species
UCGGGAAUUUUGGGCAAUGGAGGGAACUCUGACCCAGCCAUGCCGCGUGCAGGAUGAAGGCGUUAUGCGUUGUAAACUGCUUUUAUAUAGGAAGAAAUAGUCCUUGCGAGGAAAGUUGACGGUACUAUAUGAAUAAGCACCGGCUAACUCCGUGCCAGCAGCCGCGGUAAUACGGAGGGUGCAAGCGUUGUCCGGAUUUAUUGGGUUUAAAGGGUGCGUAGGCGGUUUAUUAAGUCAGUGGUGAAAGACGGUCGCUCAACGAUUGCAGUGCCAUUGAUACUGGUAGACUUGAGUAUGAUUGAGGUAGCUGGAAUGGAUAGUGUAGCGGUGAAAUGCAUAGAUAUUAUCCAGAACACCAAUUGCGUAGGCAAGUUACUAAGUCAUAACUGACGCUGAGGCACGAAAGUGUGGGUAUCAAACAGGAUUAGAUACCCACGUAGUCCCUGAGCGGGCUGGCAAGGCGCAU